AGGGGCUUAGCUCAAUGGGAGAGCGCAGAUAAAAUCAUUUAUUGAUUAUGAGAUUAUGUCUCAAAUCUGUUGAUUUAUAUUGCUGAAAUCUUGGUUCGAUUCCAAGAGUCCCUA